UAAUUCCUUGGAACAGGACGUCAUAGAGGGUGAGAAUCCCGUAUGGGACCGGCCGUCAAUCCCAUGUGAAACCCUUCGACGAGUCGAGUUGUUUGGGAAUGCAGCUCAAAAUGGGUGGUAAAUUCCAUCUAAAGCUAAAUACUGGCCAGAGACCGAUAGCGCACAAGUAGAGUGAUCGAAAGAUGAAAAGCACUUUGGAAAGAGAGUCAAAAAGUACGUGAAAUUGUUGAAAGGGAAGCGCUUGCGACCAGACCUGCCCCCGGGCGAUCCGCCGUUAUUCGUAGCGGUGCACUCGCCCGGGACCAGGCCAGCAUCGGUUCUGGGCGGCGGACAAAGCGCCCGGGAAUGUAGCUCCCUCCGGGGAGUCUUAUAGCCCCGGGCGUUCAUUGCCGCCCGCCCGGACCGAGGACCGCGCUUCGGCUAGGAUGCUGGCGUAAUGGUCGUAAGCGACCCGUCUUGAAACACGGACCAAGGAGUCUAACMUCCAUGCGAGUGUUUGGUGUCAAACCCACGCGCGGAAUGAAAGUGAACGGAGGUGGGACCCCUUCAGGGCGCACCAUCGACCGAUCCWGAWGUUUCGGAUGGAUUUGAGUAMGAGCAURGCUGUUGGGACCCGAAAGAUGGUGAACUAUGCSUGAAUAGGGUGAAGCCAGAGGAAACUCUGUGGAGGCUCGCAGCGGUUCUGACGUGCAAAUCGAUCGUCAAAUUUGNGYAUAGGGGCGAAAGACCAAUCGAACCAU
rnacentral:rRNA from 1 species